rnacentral:tRNA from 1 species
GGCAGCGUAGCUCAGGGGUAGAGCACGGGAAUCAUAAUCCCAUGGUCGGGGGUUCAAAUCCCUCCGCUGCUACCA